rnacentral:rRNA from 1 species
UAGGGAAUCUUCGGCAAUGGACGAAAGUCUGACCGAGCAACGCCGCGUGAGUGAAGAAGGUUUUCGGAUCGUAAAACUCUGUUGUUAGAGAAGAACAAGGACGUUAGUAACUGAACGUCCCCUGACGGUAUCUAACCAGAAAGCCACGGCUAACUACGUGCCAGCAGCCGCGGUAAUACGUAGGUGGCAAGCGUUGUCCGGAUUUAUUGGGCGUAAAGCGAGCGCAGGCGGUUUCUUAAGUCUGAUGUGAAAGCCCCCGGCUCCACCGGGGAGGGUCCUUGGAAACUGGGAGACUUGAGUGCAGAAGCGGAGAGUGGAAUUCCAUGUGUAGCGGUGAAAUGCGUCGAUAUAUGGAGGAACACCAGUGGCGAAGGCGGCUCUCUGGUCUGUAACUGACGCUGAGGCUCGAAAGCGUGGGGAGCAAACAGG